GAUGAAGAACGUAGCGAAAUGCGAUAAGUAAUGUGAAUUGCAGAAUUCAGUGAAUCAUCGAAUCUUUGAACGCACAUUGCGCCCCUUGGUAUUCCGAGGGGCAUGCCUGUUCGAGCGUCAUUAAUUCCACUUAAGCCCUGCUUAGUGUUGGGAAUCUACUCUAGUGGUGCUACCCUGGAGCUACCCCUGAAAGGGGGCUGGCCCGGUAGCUACCCUGUAGUUCCUCAAAGAUAGUGCGCGGAGUUGCGUGGUCCUCUGAGCUUAGUAACUAUACACCUAGCUUUUGAGUGUCCCGCGGCGCCUGCCGUUUAAACCCCAUCUUUUAAUGGUUGACCUCGGAUCAGGUAGGAAUACCCGCUGAACUUAAGCAUAUCAAUAAGCGGAGGA
rnacentral:misc_RNA from 1 species